UCAACCAUCAAGCCUGGCUUGUCGUUGGACCCCUUUGCGGCUGAAAUACGUGGCAGGUCCAAAAGAUAAUGACGGCGUCGUGUUUGACCCUAGAUGCAACGAGCUUUUUAAUAGCACGCAUUGAAGUGGUCGGUCGACCCGGUCUUUAACCAUCAUUUUCUAC
rnacentral:misc_RNA from 1 species